CUGACUGUAGUGAUGAAGAAGCUCAUGAUGCCAUGAUUUCAAGGAAGAUGGUGGGAGGAGAAAGCUAACAUUGAUAGGAAAUAGCAAUGAAGAGCAAACAGGACCUCUCCUCUUCCUCUGGACCCCAUGGAGGCAGAGUCCUCUGGGAGAGCCCAACAAACAGGGAUAGAUGAAAGUGGUAAGAAGGUGGUCAGUCCUGCACAGGACACUGGAUAUCACAGGAAGGAGGAGAGAGCCCACAGGACCUUUGCAGGAUCCAUGCCACCACAUGAGUGACUAUGACUGUAAAAAAUAACUUCUGGGAAUAAAAAAGAUAGCUUUCACAAGAAGUGGAAAAACUUGCAGAUACAAGCCCAAAGGCCAGAGCUAAAAGAAAUGGCACGUGAAAAAGUUUUUAUUACUUCAUUUUCUUGUGCUGCUACAAAGAUCACUUCUUUUCAUGAUGGCUUUUUUGCACAACAUGCCUGGCUCUGGGACUUCUGUCGGACCGCCUUUGUGAAGAGCAUUUCAUUACUACAGCACAUGGCUAGACUGAAACAAGAAUAAU